GAUCCUGGCCCAGGAUGAACGCUAGCUACAGGCUUAACACAUGCAAGUCGAGGGGCAGCAUGAACUUAGCUUGCUAAGUUUGAUGGCGACCGGCGCACGGGUGAGUAACACGUAUCCAACCUGCCGAUGACUCGGGGAUAGCCUUUCGAAAGAAAGAUUAAUACCCGAUGGCAUAAUUCUUCCGCAUGGUAGAACUAUUAAAGAAUUUCGGUCAUCGAUGGGGAUGCGUUCCAUUAGGUUG
rnacentral:rRNA from 1 species